CGGGUGAGUAACACGUGGAUAACCUACCUAUAAGACUGGGAUAACUUCGGGAAACCGGAGCUAAUACCGGAUAAUAUAUUGAACCGCAUGGUUCAAUAGUGAAAGACGGUUUUGCUGUCACUUAUAGAUGGAUCCGCGCCGCAUUAGCUAGUUGGUAAGGUAACGGCUUACCAAGGCAACGAUGCGUAGCCGAUCUGAGAGGGUGAUCGGCCACACUGGAACUGAGACACGGUCCAGACUCCUACGGGAGGCAGCAGAU
rnacentral:rRNA from 1 species